rnacentral:rRNA from 1 species
ACCGAUAGGCGUUGAAAAGUCUCCGGAUGACUUGUGGAUAGGGGUGAAAGGCCAAUCAAACUUCGUGAUAGCUGGUUCUCUCCGAAAUAUAUUUAGGUAUAGCCUUGUGUUGUAGCAUAUAGGGGUAGAGCACUGAAUGGGCUAGGGCUGCUUACCGCGGUACCAAACCCUAUCAAACUAUGAAUACUAUAUGUGGAAUCACAGGAGUCAGGCGAUGGGUGAUAAAAUCCACCGUCGAGAGGGGAACAACCCAGACUAACAGCUAAGGUCCCUAAGUCACAUCUAAGUGGAAAACGAUGUGGAGUUACUGUGACAACCAGGAGGUUGGCUUAGAAGCAGCCAUCCUUUAAAGAAAGCGUAACAGCUCACUGGUCUAGUGAUUCUGCGCGGAAAAUAUAACGGGGCUAAGAUGUGCACCGAAGCUUUAGAUUCGAAUUUAUUCGAGUGGUAGGAGAGCGUUCUAUUCAGCGUUGAAGAUGUACCGGCAAGGAGCGUUGGAGCGGAUAGAAGUGAGCAUGCAGGCAUGAGUAGCGAUAAUUGAGGUGAGAAUCCUCAACGCCGAAAACCCAAGGUUUCCUACGCGAUGCUCGUCAUCGUAGGGUUAGUCGGGU